AACUGCAAGUCGAACGCGUUGGGCCCAAUUGAUUGAUGGUGCUUGCACCUGAUUGAUUUUGGUCGCCAACGAGUGGCGGACGGGUGAGUAACACGUAGGUAACCUGCCCAGAAGCGGGGGACAACAUUUGGAAACAGAUGCUAAUACCGCAUAACAACGUUGUUCGCAUGAACAACGCUUAAAAGAUGGCUUCUCGCUAUCACUUCUGGAUGGACCUGCGGUGCAUUAGCUUGUUGGUGGGGUAACGGCCUACCAAGGCGAUGAUGCAUAGCCGAGUUGAGAGACUGAUCGGCCACAAUGGGACUGAGACACGGCCCAUACUCCUACGGGAGGCAGCAGUAGGGAAUCUUCCACAAUGGGCGCAAGCCUGAUGGAGCAACACCGCGUGAGUGAAGAAGGGUUUCGGCUCGUAAAGCUCUGUUGUUAAAGAAGAACACGUAUGAGAGUAACUGUUCAUACGUUGACGGUAUUUAACCAGAAAGUCACGGCUAACUACGUGCCAGCAGCCGCGGUAAUACGUAGGUGGCAAGCGUUAUCCGGAUUUAUUGGGCGUAAAGAGAGUGCAGGCGGUUUUCUAAGUCUGAUGUGAAAGCCUUCGGCUUAACCGGAGAAGUGCAUCGGAAACUGGAUAACUUGAGUGCAGAAGAGGGUAGUGGAACUCCAUGUGUAGCGGUGGAAUGCGUAGAUAUAUGGAAGAACACGAGUGGCGAACGCAGCUACCUGGUCUGCAACUGACGCUGAGACUCGAAAGCAUGGGUAGCGAACAGGAUUAGAUACCCUGGUAGUC
rnacentral:rRNA from 1 species